rnacentral:rRNA from 2 species
UUAAUUUGAGAGUUUGAUCCUGGCUCAGGACGAACGCUGGCGGCGUGCCUAAUACAUGCAAGUCGAACGAACUCUGGUAUUGAUUGGUGCUUGCAUCAUGAUUUACAUUUGAGUGAGUGGCGAACUGGUGAGUAACACGUGGGAAACCUGCCCAGAAGCGGGGGAUAACACCUGGAAACAGAUGCUAAUACCGCAUAACAACUUGGACCGCAUGGUCCGAGUUUGAAAGAUGGCUUCGGCUAUCACUUUUGGAUGGUCCCGCGGCGUAUUAGCUAGAUGGUGGGGUAACGGCUCACCAUGGCAAUGAUACGUAGCCGACCUGAGAGGGUAAUCGGCCACAUUGGGACUGAGACACGGCCCAAACUCCUACGGGAGGCAGCAGUAGGGAAUCUUCCACAAUGGACGAAAGUCUGAUGGAGCAACGCCGCGUGAGUGAAGAAGGGUUUCGGCUCGUAAAACUCUGUUGUUGAAGAAGAACAUAUCUGAGAGUAACUGUUCAGGUAUUGACGGUAUUUAACCAGAAAGCCACGGCUAACUACGUGCCAGCAGCCGCGGUAAUACGUAGGUGGCAAGCGUUGUCCGGAUUUAUUGGGCGUAAAGCGAGCGCAGGCGGUUUUUUAAGUCUGAUGUGAAAGCCUUCGGCUCAACCGAAGAAGUGCAUCGGAAACUGGGAAACUUGAGUGCAGAAGAGGACAGUGGAACUCCAUGUGUAGCGGUGAAAUGCGUAGAUAUAUGGAAGAACACCAGUGGCGAAGGCGGCUGUCUGGUCUGUAACUGACGCUGAGGCUCGAAAGUAUGGGUAGCAAACAGGAUUAGAUACCCUGGUAGUCCAUACCGUAAACGAUGAAUGCUAAGUGUUGGAGGGUUUCCGCCCUUCAGUGCUGCAGCUAACGCAUUAAGCAUUCCGCCUGGGGAGUACGGCCGCAAGGCUGAAACUCAAAGGAAUUGACGGGGGCCCGCACAAGCGGUGGAGCAUGUGGUUUAAUUCGAAGCUACGCGAAGAACCUUACCAGGUCUUGACAUACUAUGCAAAUCUAAGAGAUUAGACGUUCCCUUCGGGGACAUGGAUACAGGUGGUGCAUGGUUGUCGUCAGCUCGUGUCGUGAGAUGUUGGGUUAAGUCCCGCAACGAGCGCAACCCUUAUUAUCAGUUGCCAGCAUUAAGUUGGGCACUCUGGUGAGACUGCCGGUGACAAACCGGAGGAAGGUGGGGAUGACGUCAAAUCAUCAUGCCCCUUAUGACCUGGGCUACACACGUGCUACAAUGGAUGGUACAACGAGUUGCGAACUCGCGAGAGUAAGCUAAUCUCUUAAAGCCAUUCUCAGUUCGGAUUGUAGGCUGCAACUCGCCUACAUGAAGUCGGAAUCGCUAGUAAUCGCGGAUCAGCAUGCCGCGGUGAAUACGUUCCCGGGCCUUGUACACACCGCCCGUCACACCAUGAGAGUUUGUAACACCCAAAGUCGGUGGGGUAACCUUUUAGGAACCAGCCGCCUAAGGUGGGACAGAUGAUUAGGGUGAAGUCGUAACAAGGUAGCCGUAGGAGAACCUGCGGCUGGAUCACCUCCUUUCUA